AUUGAACGCUGGCGGCAUGCCUUACACAUGCAAGUCGAACGGCAACAGGUUAAGCUGACGAGUGGCGAACGGGUGAGUAAUAUAUCGGAACGUGCCCAGUAGUGGGGGAUAGCCCGGCGCAAGCCGGAUUAAUACCGCAUACGACCUACGGGGGAAAGGGGGGGAUCGCAACACCUCCCGCUAUUGGAGCGGCCGAUAUCAGAUUAGGUAGUUGGUGGGGUAAAGGCCUACCAAGCCUGCGAUCUGUAGUUGGUCUGAGAGGACGACCAGCCACACUGGGACUGAGACACGGCCCAGACUCCUACGGGAGGCAGCAGUGGGGAAUUUUGGACAAUGGGCGCAAGCCUGAUCCAGCAAUGCCGCGUGCAGGAAGAAGGCCUUCGGGUUGUAAACUGCUUUUGUCAGGGAAGAAAUCCUCUGGGUUAAUACCUCGGGGGGAUGACGGUACCUGAAGAAUAAGCACCGGCUAACUACGUGCCAGCCGCCGCCGUAAUAC
rnacentral:rRNA from 1 species